rnacentral:rRNA from 1 species
GAUGAACGCUAGCUACAGGCUUAACACAUGCAAGUCGAGGGGAAACGAUGAGAGAGCUUGCUCUCUUAGGCGUCGACCGGCGCACGGGUGAGUAACGCGUAUCCAACCUACCCAUUACAGGGGGAUAACCUUGCGAAAGUAAGACUAAUACCCCAUGGCAUUUUAUGGUGGCAUCAUUAUAGGAUUAAAGAUUUAUUGGUAAUGGAUGGGGAUGCGUCUGAUUAGCUUGUUGGCGGGGUAACGGCCCACCAAGGCAACGAUCAGUAGGGGUUCUGAGAGGAAGGUCCCCCACAUUGGAACUGAGACACGGUCCAAACUCCUACGGGAGGCAGCAGUGAGGAAUAUUGGUCAAUGGGCGAGAGCUUGAACCAGCCAAGUAGCGUGCAGGAUGACGGCCCUAUGGGUUGUAAACUGCUUUUAGAGGGGAAGAAAGUGAGCUACGUGUAGUUUAUUGCAUGUACCCUAUGAAUAAGGACCGGCUAAUUCCGUG